CGCUGCCUGUGCCGACCGCUGCCUGUGCCGACCGCUGCUUGCUGACUGUGGCUGCCGACGAGGACGUUGAGCCGCUGUGGGCUAUCUACGCUAGACGAUCGCCACAGUAAAGGGAAGAGCUAUUUGUAUUCUUUGGUUAUUUCACAUGUCCAUGUAGCUCACGAUGGUGUUGGAAUUCCAGGCGGGUGCUGCCGGACGACGAGAUGGAGCCUGAUCCGGAGGAGAGCCGCAUUUCAGCCGGGACUCAGUGCUGCUUCUGCUUCCGUGGUUGACGACUCCACUGGCGUGCUGACGUGAACAUCGUGUCGCCGUGACGUCACCUUCAAGAACUAGGCUCACUGCCGAUCCGAUAGCGGACUACAUUUCCCAGAGGCCCCGGUGAGACUGAUACCAAUCCCCUUGGAACUGAUUUAUUGUUUUUUUAUUUUCCUUUUGGCCUGGAGGAUCCCGGCCAACGGACAAUAAUUUUCUUCUUAUUCAUUUUUGUGUUUGUGAAUGUUGUGUCUUAUGUGCUGGUGGGCUGCAGUAACUGGGCAGUGGGUGGAGUUGUAGUGGGCAACGGUUAAGGGCCUUUUUUUAGUGUGUGGGCGUGACGUCACAAAUCAUUACUGUGUGCAUUACUGUGUGCUGUGUCCAUGGAUUGUGAAAUUAUAAUAGGUGGUGAUUCGUGCUUAUGACUUUUGAAGUGCCUUAUGGUUCCGAGAUGGGAUUGACUACACGUGUGGUUUUGAGUGGCCAACCCUGAACAUGUCCGCCCCUAUAAGUUUUACCCUCCUGUCUAGAGUGGCGACCCAUGUGUUAUUACAUGAUAAAUAAAUCUGUAUUUUUA